rnacentral:lncRNA from 1 species
UGGUGGACAAACCACCACCUAUAAGUAAAGAGUAUUGGAAGUAAGAAUUAUCUUUCUCCACACUUCUCUUAGAUUACAAUCCUUGCUAAUGCUAAGUAUUUGUAGCUUCUAGACUUCUCUUUUUCAAUAGGUUAUGGACCCAUUCACAUUUUCUUGAGUGUUUUUUUUGAAGUUCUUUGAAGUGGUUUUGUAAGUGUGGAGUAGAUCAAGUUGUUGUUGCUUAUGUUAGGCUUUGGAAGAAC